AUUGAACGCUGGCGGCAGGCCUAACACAUGCAAGUCGAGCGGAUGAAGGGAGCUUGCUCCUGGAUUCAGCGGCGGACGGGUGAGUAAUGCCUAGGAAUCUGCCUGGUAGUGGGGGAUAACGUCCGGAAGCGGGCGCUAAUACCGCAUACGUCCUGAGGGAGAAAGUGGGGGAUCUUCGGACCUCACGCUAUCAGAUGAGCCUAGGUCGGAUUAGCUAGUUGGUGGGGUAAAGGCCUACCAAGGCGACGAUCCGUAACUGGUCUGAGAGGAUGAUCAGUCACACUGGAACUGAGACACGGUCCAGACUCCUACGGGAGGCAGCAGUGGGGAAUAUUGGACAAUGGGCGAAAGCCUGAUCCAGCCAUGCCGCGUGGGUGAAGAAGGUCUUCGGAUUGUAAAGCACUUUAAGUUGGGAGGAAGGGCAGUAAGUUAAUACCUUGCUGUUUUGACGUUACCAACAGAAUAAGCACCGGCUAACUUCGUG
rnacentral:rRNA from 1 species